GACACUUGAAAUUCUUAAACACGCCCUCUUUGACAGCAAUUGAAAGACAGUCACUUCACCUUGCCCAAAAUAUGGUUGUUGACUCGUCUCGUCUCUUACGUACCACGCGCACUGCACGCACUUUCAGAACAAUUUCCUAGAAGAAGAAGAGGAAUAAAAUGAAAAGCAGUAAUAUUACACAAGCCUUUUGACCCGCCGUCGACUCACCAUCCAUAAAAUUGAACAAAGAAAAAAAAAAACCUUGAUAAUCGGAAAAGAAGAAAGUCCGAGUUGUUGGGACUAAUUAUGUCAUCUUCAAUCGAAGAGAAACGAAUCGAGGACGAGUUAUCGUACCCGAUUUUACUAGCGGAGCGGGUUCGCUUGGCGGUUGACGAGUCGGAGUCGUUCAAAGCGGAGUGUGCAGAAGUUGGAAAGCAAGUGGAUCGGCUCUCGC
rnacentral:lncRNA from 1 species